AUGGCCUGGACUCCUCUCCUCUUCUUCCUCCUUCAUUGUUCAGGGUCUUUCUCCCAGCUUGUGCUGACUCAGUCACCCUCUGCCUCUGCCUCCCUGGGAGCCUCAGCCAAACUAACCUGCACCUUGAGUAGUGAGCACAGCACCUACAACAUUGAAUGGUACCAGCAACAUCCAGAAAAGAAUCCCAAGUUUGUGAUGUAUCUUAAGAGUGAUGGAAGCCACAGCAAGGGGGAUGGGAUUCUGGACCGCUUCUCUGGCUCCAGCUUUGGGGCUCAUCGCUACUUAAGAAUCUCCAACAUGUAG